AUGUGUAUUGGAGACCUUAAUGACAUCUUGUAUGAUACAGAUGGUUGUAAUGGUAGUGUUAAUUAUUAUCGCAUGUCUGCUUUUCGUUCCCUUGUUAAAAAUUGUGGUUUUUUUAAUAUUGGUUUUAGUGGUCCUGCGUACGCUUGGCGUAACAAACAGCAUACUGUUAAUCCUAUUUACAGACGUCUAGACCGAUGCCUUGUCAACUCUGACUGGUGUGCGCAUUAUCCUAAUUCUAAAGUGCUCAACUUACCUAUUAUUCUCAGUGAUCAUGCGCCCAUUCUCGUUUCUACAGACGGUAAUUUUCUUAAGCCGAGGCAAACUUUUAAAUUUGAAAACUGGUGGUUGCUUGAAAAAGACUUUACUAGCUUUGCAAAAUCUGCUUGGAAUAAUUGCACUUUUACCUCUUUUGCAGCAAAGUCUUCUUCUUUGGCAGGUUCUUUCAAGAAGUGGUGUAAGAAGAAAAAGCCCUUCCAACAAGAGCUUUUGGAAAUUGAGUCCAGUAUUAAUCAGAUUCAGCAGCUUCCAAUUCAGCAGCAAAAUCACACUUUGGAAAGCUCUCUCACUCUUAGGUAUGAACAAACUCUCUCUAAGCUCAAUCAAUUUUAUAAACAGAGAAGUAAGAAGGGUUGGGCCACUGCUGGUGAUCGUAAUACUAAGUUUUUUCCUCAGGCUGUGAUCAAAAGAAGAAAAUGA
rnacentral:rRNA from 1 species